CCCAAUUGAUUGACGGUGCUUGCAUCUGAUUGAUUUUGGUUGCCAACGAGUGGCGGACGGGUGAGUAACACGUAGGUAACCUGCCCAGAAGUGGGGGACAACAUUUGGAAACAGAUGCUAAUACCGCAUAACAGCGUUGUUCGCAUGAACAACGCUUAAAAGAUGGCUUCUCGCUAUCACUUCUGGAUGGACCUGCGGUGCAUUAGCUUGUUGGUGGGGUAACGGCCUACCAAGGCGAUGAUGCAUAGCCGAGUUGAGAGACUGAUCGGCCACAAUGGGACUGAGACACGGCCCAUACUCCUACGGGAGGCAGCAGUAGGGAAUCUUCCACAAUGGGCGCAAGCCUGAUGGAGCAACACCGCGUGAGUGAAGAAGGGUUUCGGCUCGUAAAGCUCUGUUGUUAAAGAAGAACACGUAUGAGAGUAACUGUUCAUACGUUGACGGUAUUUAACCAGAAAGUCACGGCUAACUACGUGCCAGCAGCCGCAGUAAUACGUAGGUGGCAAGCGUUAUCCGGAUUUAUUGGGCGUAAAGAGAGUGCAGGCGGUUUUCUAAGUCUGAUGUGAAAGCCUUCGGCUUAACCGGAGAAGUGCAUCGGAAACUGGAUAACUUGAGUGCAGAAGAGGGUAGUGGAACUCCAUGUGUAGCGGUGGAAUGCGUAGAUAUAUGGAAGAACACCAGUGGCGAAGGCGGCUACCUGGUCUGCAACUGACGCUGAGACUCGAAAGCAUGGGUAGCGAACAGGAUUAGAUACCCUGGUAGUCCAUGCCGUACACGAUGAGUGCUAGGU
rnacentral:rRNA from 1 species